UUUACCCCUACAGAGGCAGCGCUGCUCUACCUGGAAUGUUAUUGUUGGAAAAAAAUAAGACACAAUAACCGGGCCAACAUGUUAAAUAUUUAAAAUGGAAUGUGGACAUACCGUAUCUGAUGGAAAGAGAAGAGAUGCUUUCUCCUGUGAGCUGAAUGGUCACUGCCAACAUGUGAGUAAAUUGUGUGUUAUUAUGUGGAUUUCUGCACAGGAUGUCAUGCUGGGAGAGACAAUUUAGCCUGCUGGGAACUGUGGUCUAAGUACAGUUUGGACCAAUGAGACGGCAAGAGGGAUGGGAACAAGGAGAAAAGAGAGAUGAAAGAAAUUACUUUUCCACCUCCUGUGGAUGACAUAUAAGCUCUGCAAUCAAAGGAUCAAGUCGUUCAAGUCACUGCGGGAUGCAUCCACCAUGUCUGAAGUGUCCUUGAACAAGAUAUCAAAUCCCCAACAGCUCCAUAAAAAAUGUACUUGACCCAGAACGCUG